GCUUGCUAGAGAAAUUAAAGUGGCGCACGGGUGAGUAACGCGUGGGUAAUCUGCCUCCGAAUCGGGGAUAACAUUGCGAAAGCGAUGCUAAUACCGGAUAAAAUCUGGUUGGCUUAGGUGAACCGGAUCAAAGGUGGUCUCUUUAUAAAAGCUACCGUUUGGAGAUGAGCUCGCGUACCAUUAGCUAGUUGGUGAGGUAAAGGCUCACCAAGGCGACGAUGGUUAGCUGGUCUGAGAGGAUGAUCAGCCACACCGGAACUGGAACACGGUCCGGACUCCUACGGGAGGCAGCAGUGAGGAAUUUUGCGCAAUGGGGGAAACCCUGACGCAGCAACGCCGCGUGAGUGAUGAAGGCUUUCGGGUCGUAAAGCUCUGUCAGGUGGGAAGAACCCACCAAGUGUUAAGACCACUUGGUGCUGACGGUACCACCGAAGGAAGCACCGGCUAACUCCGUGCCAGCAGCCGAGGUAAUCCGGGGGGUGCGAGCGUUAAUCGGAAUCAUUGGGCGUAAAGGGCGCGCAGG
rnacentral:rRNA from 1 species